GCCCACCAAAAAAUUACAAGAAUUAAACUGGUUAUACAUUCCUUCUGUACAACUAGUUUGACAUCCCCUAUUCUAAACAAUGGCCAUGAUUUUGACACAUUAUGAAUGUCAAACUUAAUGUACAAAAUGAAUGUAUAUAUAACAGCUUUGAAAUUACAAAUAUCAACCAUGUGAAAUGCUUACAUGUUAUGAGCAAUGGCAAGUUUCAUAUACAUGAAAGUUAUCCUUUCAGGUCCUUUCCCGUUCCAUGUCAACAGGUGAGGCAUUCUUAGUGCCCACGUUAUAUACCUCCCAAGUCAUCGGAGAGGAAUUUGAUGUGCCGGGUUUGGUGGUUGCCCAAAGGCGCACGCGUACUCUUAUUUUAUGAGCGAGACUCCGUAUAGCAAUCAUAUCUCACAAUUAUGUGUAUGUAAAUCAUUAUAUAAACCCAUUAUGUACAUGUAGCAUAACUGAUUCCAUUUUAUCAUCAAGGCAUACAAUAUUUUACAUACUAAAAAUGAGAGCUCUUUUGAGGAGGACCAAGUUGGAGCUAGAAAAUGCAAAAUAACCUCAUUUACCAGCUUUAUAUAGAUCAACCGUCUUCUAGUUGAUAUUCUACAUUCUUGUUUCUCCUCCUCCUCCACCCAUCACCUUCUCUCCCUAGCCCAUCUCCUGUGAUCCCAACCACUCAUCCUGCUCAAUUUCCUCAUGGUCGGGAGCCCCCAAAUAGAAGGAAGUCCUCAAAACUCCUUCCCAGUUACACUCGGAAGUCUUGCUCACUAAAUGCAGGGGAGAUAUGGGGAUCGCAUAUGCAAAGGGGGGAAGGAGGUAUGCAAGAGGAAGUAAAGAAUGAUGGGCUGAAUGUCAUAUUUAACAAGGUUAAAUUGAACAUUCAAUCUCCAAAAAUGCAUCUUAUCUUAAACUAAUAAAAAGGGUAAAUUUUCCACUCUGCUAGAAAGGCUAUUCUGAACUACUCAAGAAUUUGCCACCAGAAAUUGACUUAAUCUCUCAAACUAUACAAAAAUAAAGAGGUUCAUACUUCAUAACACGUUCAUUAAACCUGGAAAUAUCAGUUAACAAUGUCACAAAUCCCAUCAAGUCUCUGCAUAAAUUGAAACCAAAAGUUACCAUAUUUCAGAAAAUCGAAUCUCAAAUGGCAUGCACGUGUAUAAUGAACUAUUGAACGAAACAAUGCCAAUCAAAUCUACGCAUACAUACACAUGUAGAUCAAAGAAGUGGACAAGGGGUAGGGAAAAGAUAGAGAAAGAGACACUGGAGAUGAGUGGGACUUGAAACACUUUUCACAUGUAGGUAAAGAAAGGGAAAUGGUAUUUAUCCCCUACAUUUCCAUGAUGGCCAAGAGAAUUAAUGACUAUUAAAGACAUUUUUUCCUAUAUUUCUGGCAUACUUCAUCUUCAGCAUAGUCUUUAAGACAAAAAUGCAGAAGUAUUUUUCCAUUUCAACAAUGUUCAUAACAAAAACCAAAAACAAAUCUGAUUUCUAUCUAGAUCAUUAAUUCCAUAAAUUUUCAGUAUAAAGCACCACAAGAGAAUUUCAGUCAUAAACCGAAUCAGAAAAUACAUAUAUUUAAUAUACGUACUUGGUAACAAGUCAUAAUUGGACAAGCUGAAUCAGAAGAGAACAUAAUUAUCAGCAUCUUGAGCUUUGAUUGUAAGCAAAUUAAAGAUGUUUGGAUAUCACUAAAAUUUUACUUUCUUCUUAUUGAUAAUGAAAAGCACCUCAAAGAGACUCUCUAAUUACAAGAUUCUCUUUAUUUUGAAAAGCCAAUGCAUAAAAAUAAGCUCCAAAAGGCUGUUAAUUUUUUAAAAUAUAGAGUGAUUUUUUAUCUCUGGAUUUGAAGAGCAAAACUUACUCUCUAUUUUUACAUUGUAAUGAUUACAUUUAAUAAGUUACAGUUCUCAAUAUUCCACUUCUCAAAUUAUUCAAACCAUAUUUGAAUUGAUUGGCCAUAAAAAAAAAAAAAAAAAAAAAAAAAAAAAAGUAAAUAGAUGAAGGGAAACAAUAAAUGUUUAUGAAAAAAAAGAAAAAUAAUGUCAAAAUAGAU
rnacentral:lncRNA from 1 species